rnacentral:rRNA from 1 species
AGAAGGAGGAGAAGUGGUAAUUUCCCCGUSGUAGCCGGUAGAAAACGCGUUAGAGGUGACGGAGGGAGUACAGAGGCCCCGGCGACGUAUCCGGCUCUGUAGACUGACGCUGAGGAGCGAAAGCGUGGGGAGCGAACAGGAUUAGAUACCCUUGGUAGUGCCCGCCGUAAACCAUGAGUGCUCAGUGUUAGGGGGUUUCCGCCCCUUAUUACUGCAGCUAACGCAUUAAGCACUCCGCCUGGGGAGUACGGUCGCAAGACUGAAACUCAAAGGAAUUCACGGGGGCCCGCACAAGCGGUGGAGCAUGUGGUUUAAUUUGAAGCAACGCGAAGAACCUUACCAGGUCUUGACAUCCUCUGACAAUCCUAGAGAUAGGACGUCCCCUUCGGGGGCAGAGUGGCAGGUGGUGCAUGGUUGUCGUCAGCUCGUGUCGUGAGAUGUUGGGUUAAGUCCCGCAACGAGUGCAACCCUUGAUUUUAGUUGCCAGCAUUCAGUUAAACUCUCUAGGGUGACUGGCGGGGACAAACCGGGGGAAGGUGGGGAUUACGUCAAAUCAUCAUGCCCCCUAUGACCUGGGUUUCCCACGUGUUGCAAUGGACAGAACAAAGGGCAGCGAAACCGCGAGGCUAAGCCAAUUCCACAAAUUCCUCUCAGUUCGGAUCGCAGUCUUCAACUCGACUUCGCAAGCUGGAAACCCUAGCAUAACGGACCAGCAUACUCGACGUCAAAACCGCUCUCC